AAUAUUGCACAAUGGGGGAAACCCUGAUGCAGCGACGCUGCGUGAGUGAAGAAGUAUUUCGGUAUGUAAAGUUCUAUCAGCAGGGAAGAAAAUGACGGUACCUGACUAAGAAGCCCCGGCCAACUACGUCCCAUCUGCCGCGGUAACACGUAGGGGGCAAGCGUUAUCCGGAUUUACUGGGUGUAAAGGGAGCGUAGGUGGCGAGUCAAGUCAGAUGUGAAAGCCCGGGGCUCAACCCCGGGAUUGCAUUUGAAACUGGUUUGCUAGAGUGCAGGAGAGGUAAGUGGAAUUCCUAGUGUAGCGGUGAAAUGCGUAGAUAUUAGGAGGAACACCAGUGGCGAAGGCGGCUUACUGGACUGUAACUGACACUGAGGCUCGAAAGCGUGGGGAGCAAACA
rnacentral:rRNA from 1 species